rnacentral:rRNA from 1 species
AGUGAACGCUGGCGGUAGGCCUAACACAUGCAAGUCGAACGGCAGCACAGUAAGAGCUUGCUCUUACGGGUGGCGAGUGGCGGACGGGUGAGGAAUACAUCGGAAUCUACUUUUUCGUGGGGGAUAACGUAGGAAACUUACGCUAAUAACGCAUACGACCUACGGGUGGAAGCAGGGGAUCUUCGGACCUUGCGCGGUUGAAUGAGCCGAUGUCGGAUUAGCUAGUUGGCGGGGUAAGGGCCCACCAAGGCGACGAUCCGUAGCUGGUCUGAGAGGAUGAUCAGCCACACUGGAACUGAGACACGGUCCAGACUCCUACGGGAGGCAGCAGUGGGGAAUAUUGGACAAUGGGCGCAAGCCUGAUCCAGCCAUACCGCGUGGGUGAAGAAGGCCUUCGGGUUGUAAAGCCCUUUUGUUGGGAAAGAAAAGCAGCAGGUUAAUACCCCGCUGUUCUGACGGUACCCAAAGAAUAAGCACCGGCUAACUUCGUG